rnacentral:rRNA from 1 species
GAUGAACGCUGGCGGCGUGCCUAAUACAUGCAAGUCGAGCGAACGGACGAGAAGCUUGCUUCUCUGAUGUUAGCGGCGGACGGGUGAGUAACACGUGGAUAACCUACCUAUAAGACUGGGAUAACUUCGGGAAACCGGAGCUAAUACCGGAUAAUAUUUUGAACCGCAUGGUUCAAAAGUGAAAGACGGUCUUGCUGUCACUUAUAGAUGGAUCCGCGCUGCAUUAGCUAGUUGGUAAGGUAACGGCUUACCAAGGCAACGAUGCAUAGCCGACCUGAGAGGGUGAUCGGCCACACUGGAACUGAGACACGGUCCAGACUCCUACGGGAGGCAGCAGUAGGGAAUCUUCCGCAAUGGGCGAAAGCCUGACGGAGCAACGCCGCGUGAGUGAUGAAGGUCUUCGGAUCGUAAACUCUGUUAUUAGGGAAGGACAUAUGUGUAAGUAACUGUGCACAUCUUGACGGUACCUAAUCAGAAAGCCACGGCUAACUACGUG